AACCCUAUCCUUCCUCUUCCUCUUCUCUGCCGCUGAAGUUCUUCAUCCUUGCAUCUCCCCUUCGCAACCUUCCUCUUCAUCCUCUUUGUGUGCCUCUCCAUGAACUUCAGCUCUGCAUCUCCAUUCCAGAUUGGAUUAUGUUUUGGAUUUUCCUCUGUUGGAUUGGGUUCUGUUGGAUUAAAUAUAAACUAGAACCUUUGAUGAAUUUAUCAGGGUUAAUGUCAACACCAAUAAUUUUAGAUUCUCCUCUGGCUCUUGCUCCUUCAGCGACCUGAUCCAGAUUGCAAGCCGCAUUUAGUUGAGUAAUUUGGGGAUUAAGAAACCCCAGUUGAGCAUGAAAAAGGAACAAUUAAAUUAAAUAUUAUAAAGCAAAAUCAUUCAAAUUUAAUUUAAGUUCAUAUUCGUGUUAAUAAAAUUCUAUCUUCUUCGUUCCAUCUUCUAUGCGUGCUGCUGCAUUUUCCCGUAGCCUUCCUCCUCAUCCUCUCCCGUAGCAGCUGCAUCUCCAGGUUCGAUCUUGAUCUUCUCUCAUAGCCGCUGCUUCUCCAGAUGAACACAUUGUGAUGUGCUAGUUGGGGAGUUGGAGAAUCGAACUGUAGAUGGAGCGCAAGUGGUUGUGCAAGAAGAAGUCUCUUCUGUGAAGAGCUCUGGAGAAACUUGUACAAAUAACAAACACCUCUAUGUAAUUCAUUCAUUGUUCAAGGAAUACAAUCUUUAGUCAUUCACUUUCU
rnacentral:sRNA from 1 species